rnacentral:rRNA from 1 species
UGGGGGUGUAAACCUUUUUUUCGGGGGACAAGGGAGAAUGGAGUUACCCGUUGAUUAAGCCCCGGCUAUUACGGUGCCAGCAGCCGCGGUAAUACGUAGGGUGCAAGCGUAUCCCGAAUUAUNGGGCGUAAAGGGCUCGUAGGCGGUUCGUCGCGUCCGUGUGAAAGUCCAUCGCUUANCGGUGGAUCCGCGCCGGGUACGGGCGGGCUGGAGUGCGUAGGGAGANNCUGGAAUUCCCGGUGUAACGGUGGAAUGUGUAGAUAUCGGAAAGACACCAAAUGGCGAAGGCAGGUCUCUGGGCCGUUACUGACGCUGAGGAGCGAAAGCGUGGGGAGCGACCAGGAUUAGAUACCCUGGUAGUCCACGCCGUAAACGGUGGAUGCUGGAUGUGGGGCCCGUUCCACGGGUUCCGUGUCGGAGCUAACGCGUUAAGCAUCCCGCCUGGGGAGUACGGCCGCAAGGCUAAAACUCAAAGAAAUUGACGGGGGCCCGCACAAGCGGCGGAGCAUGCGGAUUAAUUCGAUGCAACGCGAAGAACCUUACCUGGGCUUGACAUGUUCCCGACCGCUCCAGAGAUGGGGCUUCCCUUCGGGGCGGGUUCACAGGUGGUGCAUGGUCGUCGUCAGCUCGUGUCGUGAGAUGUUGGGUUAAGUCCCGCAACGAGCGCAACCCUCGCCCCGUGUUGCCAGCGGAUUAUGCCGGGAACUCACGGGGGACCGCCGGGGUUAACUCGGAGGAAGGUGGGGAUGACGUCAGAUCAUCAUGCCCCUUACGUCCAGGGCUUCACGCAUGCUACAAUGGCCGGUACAACGGGAUGCGACGCGGCGACGCGGAGCGGAUCCCUGAAAACCGGUCUCAGUUCGGAUCGCAGUCUGCAACUCGACUGCGUGAAGGCGGAGUCGCUAGUAAUCGCGAAUCAGCAACGUCGCGGUGAAUGCGUUCCCGGGCCUUGUACACACCGCCCGUCAAGUCAUGAAAGUGGGCAGCACCCGAAGCCGGUGGCCUAACCCCUUGUGGGAUGGAGCCGUCUAAGGUGAGGCUCGUGAUUGGGACUAAGUCGU